rnacentral:rRNA from 1 species
AGGACGAACGCUGGCGGCGUGCUUAACACAUGCAAGUCGAGCGGAAAAGCCCUUCGGGGUACUCGAGCGGCGAACGGGUGAGUAACACGUGAGUAAUCUGCCCCUAGCUCUGGGAUAGCUCCGGGAAACCGGGAUUAAUACUGGAUACGACCACCUUAGACAUCUUUUGUGGUGGAAAGAAUUUCGGCUAGGGAUGAGCUCGCGGCCUAUCAGCUUGUUGGUGGGUAACGCCUACCAAGGCGACGACGGGUAG